rnacentral:rRNA from 1 species
GACGAACGCUGGCGGCGUGCUUAACACAUGCAAGUCGAACGGUAAGGCCCCUUCGGGGGUACACGAGUGGCGAACGGGUGAGUAACACGUGAGCAACCUGCCCCUGACUCUGGAAUAACAGUUGGAAACAGCUGCUAAUACUGGAUAUUCAUCGUCUCCUUCCUGGGGGGUGGUGGAAAGCUCCGGCGGUCAGGGAUGGGCUCGCGGCCUAUCAGCUUGUUGGUGAGGUAAUGGCUCACCAAGGCUUCGACGGGUAGCCGGCCUGAGAGGGCGACCGGCCACACUGGGACUGAGAUACGGCCCAGACUCCUACGGGAGGCAGCAGUGGGGAAUAUUGCACAAUGGGCGCAAGCCUGAUGCAGCAACGCCGCGUGCGGGAUGACGGCCUUCGGGUUGUAAACCGCUUUCAGUUGGGACGAAGGGUGACUGACGGUACCUACAGAAGAAGGACCGGCUAACUACGUG